rnacentral:rRNA from 1 species
UACGUAGGGGGCAAGCGUUAUCCGGAUUUACUGGGUGUAAAGGGAGCGUAGACGGCGAUGCAAGCCAGAUGUGAAAGCCCGGGGCUCAACCCCGGGACUGCAUUUGGAACUGUAUAGCUAGAGUGUCGGAGAGGCAGGCGGAAUUCCUAGUGUAGCGGUUAAAUGCGUAGAUAUUAGGAGGAACACCAGUGGCGAAGGCGGCCUGCUGGACGAUGACUGACGUUGAGGCUCGAAAGCGUGGGGAGCAAACAGG